rnacentral:rRNA from 1 species
GUGCAGCAGGCGAGAAUACUUUACAAUGUGCGAAAGCACGAUAAGGGAACUCUGAGUGCCUCCUAAGGAGGCUGUUCAGGUGUCUAAAAGCACCUGGAGUAAGGGCUGGGGAAGACCGGUGCCAGCCGCCGCGGUAACACCGGCAGCCCAGGUGGUAGCCACUUUUAUUGGGUCUAAAGCGUCCGUAGCCGGUUGAGUAAGUUCCUUGGGAAAUUUGGCUGCUCAACAGUCAAGCUUCCAGGGAAUACUGCUCGACUUGGGACUGGGAGAGGUCAGAGGUACUCCAGGGGUAGGGUGAAAUCCAUUAAUCCCUGGGGGACCACCGGUAGCGAAGGCGUCUGACCAGACCAGGUCCGACGGUGAGGGACGAAGGCUAGGGUCGCGAACCGGAUUAGAUA